GAUUUAAGUCUUUAAUCCAUUUUGAUUUUAUUUUUGUAUAUGACAAGUGAUAGGGGUUUAAUUUCAUUCUUUUGCUUAUAGAUACCCAGUUUUCUCAGCAUCACUGAUUUG